UACGGAGGGGGCUAGCGUUGUUCGGAAUUACUGGGCGUAAAGCGCACGUAGGCGGCUUUGUAAGUCAGGGGUGAAAUCCCGGGGCUCAACCCCGGAACUGCCCUUGAGACUGCAAGGCUCGAAUCCAGGAGAGGUGAGUGGAAUUCCGAGUGUAGAGGUGAAAUUCGUAGAUAUUCGGAAGAACACCAGUGGCGAAGGCGGCUCACUGGACUGGUAUUGACGCUGAGGUGCGAAAGCGUGGGGAGCAAAC
rnacentral:rRNA from 1 species